rnacentral:rRNA from 1 species
UAGGGAAUCUUCGGCAAUGGACGAAAGUCUGACCGAGCAACGCCGCGUGAGUGAAGAAGGUUUUCGGAUCGUAAAACUCUGUUGUUAGAGAAGAACAAGGACGUUAGUAACUGAACGUCCCCUGACGGUAUCUAACCAGAAAGCCACGGCUAACUACGUGCCAGCAGCCGCGGUAAUACGUAGGUGGCAAGCGUUGUCCGGAUUUAUUGGGCGUAAAGCGAGCGCAGGCGGUUUCUUAAGUCUGAUGUGAAAGCCCCGGCUCAACCGGGGAGGGUCAUUGGAAACUGGGAGACUUGAGUGCAGAAGAGGAGAGUGGAAUUCCAUGUGUAGCGGUGAAAUGCGUAGAUAUAUGGAGGAACACCAGUGGCGAAGGCGGCUCUCUGGUCUGUAACUGACGCUGAGGCGCGAAAGCGUGGGGAGCAAACAGG